UUUUCCAAACCUACAUUUCAUCAGCAAAGGUAGCUGGAGGCUCUCCAGCAAAUGUGUCUAAUCUCUAUUUUCAUUUUGCAAAUCUGUACUUGGAUUUCAUGUGGAUUAUUUACUUGCCUAAAUGAUCAUCUCUACCUGCGGAUGAUCUCACAGAUGCAUCUUCUCAUGUUCAGUUUCACUAACAGGAAAAAGCCACUAAGUGAACCUUCAAUCAGAACAGCAACAGGGAAAUGCCAUAAUUACAUGAAAUGGUGCCUGGGGUGUGCAUUAUCUUAGCAGAUCCAACUAUUAAAUUCUUGAUCCUGUGAGUGCAGGACCUGCAAUUCAUGCUCGUUGCUGUCCACUGAUACAAUAGGAUCCCCAAAUCCGUGUCAUUAAUAAGAAAAACAAUGUCUAACUAAAAUGGAGGAGAUCAACUUGCUCUUUCAUGGCUUGAAAAAUUGGUCAUGAAGUUUCCGUUAAAUGGUUGGUAAAGCAAUUUUGGUCUCACUAUAUCUGUGUGCAAGAUGCAAGAAUUUCAGUUCGGAAUUCAACUUAACACUGCUAAAUUGAGACUUUUCAGAGUCAUAAAAAAAUCAAGAUUUUUGGGGUACAAGAUUCACAGUGGCGACAAGGUCGCUCGAAUCAGGCUGCAUAUGUGUCGCGUCCUUUCAAGGCUAUGUAUUUGUGUUGAUCUGCUUUUGCUUUUAGUAGAUUUGUACAUGGUUCUGUUAGCUCCAUUGGCUAAUACAAGAUGAGAUUAUAU